rnacentral:lncRNA from 1 species
AUGCUGUUGAAGCUGGCAGUGAGGAAAAUACCAACCUUCCUAAGGAUUAAACAUAUGAGCAUGGACAUCUCAGUUGAGUUCAACGUUACUUUAUCAGAGCCACAAUCAGAAGUGUCAAACCAGAUGUGCGUGAGGAGCAGCAUGAUGUACCUUCCUGGGCUACAGAAGCAUUGCAAUGUCUAGCACUAUAUUUUGAGGGUGACAUUUAUUUGAAGUUUUUAUUCUAAUAUGCUGGGGCACUUUGUUUGCAGAUGAUGCCUGUAGGUUUGUGUUUUCUAACAAGCCUGGCAGCAGCAAAAGAAACCAUUUGAGGACUCUGCACUUGAAAUUUGCUAGAUUUAUCUUCAGCCUCUGCCAUGCACUGGCUCAGACGCUGCAAGCACUGCAGACAGUGAAUGUGAAUAUAAUAUGCGGUGAUGUAAAUAUAUUUUUUGCAACUCUAAAUGUUCUCUGUAACCUGUUGAGCCAAGGUGCAAUAAAGAAUAAAUAGCUAUUCUGAUCUUCA